rnacentral:rRNA from 1 species
AUUGAACGCUGGCGGCAUGCUUUACACAUGCAAGUCGAACGGUAACAGGCCGCAAGGUGCUGACGAGUGGCGAACGGGUGAGUAAUGCAUCGGAACGUGCCCAGUCGUGGGGGCUAACGCAGCGAAAGCUGUGCUAAUACCGCAUACGAUCUAUGGAUGAAAGCGGGGGACCGUAAGGCCUCGCGCGAUUGGAGCGGCCGAUGUCAGAUUAGGUAGUUGGUGGGGUAAAGGCUCACCAAGCAAACGAUCUGUAGCUGGUCUGAGAGGACGACCAGCCGCACUGGGACGGAGACACGGCCCAGACGCCUACGGGAGGCAGCAGUGGGGAAUUUUGGACAAUGGGCGCAAGCCUGAUCCAGCAAUGCCGCGUGCAGGAAGAAGGCCUUCGGGUUGUAAACUGCUUUUGUACGGAACGAAAAGGUUUGGGUUAAUACCCUGGGCCGAUGACGGUACCGUAAGUAUAAGCACCGGCUAACUACGUGCCAGCCGCCGCGGUAAAAC